GGCCCCCGAUCUGAGUGAGGUUGCAGUUUCUCUGCGUCACAUACUCAAUGCUGGUGGACUCCAUCAGCAGCGCGUAGUCUGUGGUGGGGGAGUCAAGAUUGAUGAUCUCGAGGCUUCACUUGUGUAGCUGAGAAGAGCCCAGUUCACUCACUAUUGGACAGCAUUCGCACGGAGACAGCUAUUGCAAGGAGACCUUGAUCGACUGAUGUAAGACACUGGUGCAAGGUGAAUCCUGAUUUACGACAACCGUUAAAAAUUAACCAAAGACGGGGUGGAGCCAAGAUGGC